ensembl:lincRNA
GUCUGAGAGAGCACAGCAGUAAAGGUUGUUCAAGGACCAGGCCCGGGAAAGCUCUGGGAGGAGUGGCUGCUAUCAACAGCAGAGCUGAUAUUGUCAGAGGAGUCCUGGGGGCAGCCGUGCCCUAGGGGGAGGUUUAGAGGUCUCUCUGAUCAGGGUGGCUACGGUCAGAUUCCUUUACAGAUGUCCCCAAAUGUCUCAGCCUCAGUUCCCUCUAGAUUAUUUCAAACAUUGGACUUUUUAUUGCCUCUGCUUUUUCUACUUUAAAACACCGACUGAAGAGAAAAACUAAAAGUCACUUUGCCCAAAACCUUCUCGUCCAAUUCACGACGAAAGGAAACAGAAACUGAAUGUUUCCUUGGAGGAGAAAGGAAACUGAAACCGAUGCCUUGGGUAUAAAGGACUGGCUGUGAUGCUCAGACGCGCCCAGUGCUCCCUGUCCUGGGGCUCGGUAGACACAGGAGCUCGCGCCGGUCCGGGCUCCUCUACUUUUUUCCUCAGUUGGGAGCGCGGCUCAGCGGCUCUUUGCACGUAGCAGGUCUGCCAUUUUCAUUACUAACUGCCAUUUAGAGCAACCAGACUAAAGGAUAUCUGCUGUAUGUAAUAAUCCCCAGUUUCUACUGGAGGCAGAAAUGGCACCAAGAACGAGUAAAUGCCCACAGAUUUUCGAGAAAAUUUCCCGGUUUAUUUCAGACAAAUUGCCAACAGCCGAGAUGCUGAGUACACAUAUUUCAGCUCUCCUGAACUUCUUCCUUUGAGAACUGCUUUAAUUCUUCAUCUUCAGAAAAAUACCUGCAUUAAUGUUUGUACUCAAUUUACUGGAUGCUUAUCAAAGGAGUGGAAAAUGUUCUUGGAUCAGAAUUACCCGUAUUUCCUGAUAGUUGCAGAUGAAGGCCUGAACCCUCUGCAAACCCAAAUUUUCAACCUUUUAAUCAUUCAGUGUUGGUCUAUGAGAGUCAAUGUUGUGCUUUUCUCUGGGCAAACAUCUGAUAUUCUUCGACUUUAUGCAUACUUUCUGCCAAGUCUAUACAGGAACCAGAACUUUUUCAAGGAGAAUGAAAAUGAGAUUCAAAUUGCUUAUAAAAAGCUCCUUAGAAAAUUGAGAAAAUACAGAGUUCUACCUUUAGCACCUCUUUUUAAAAACUUUGCAUUGAAACAUAUGAUGGAAGAGGCAUAUGAAACUGUAUCUCUGCUCCAACAAGUCUGGCCAAAAGGAUCUGACAUUCGACGUGUCAUUUGUGUCACUUCAUGCUCACUGGCUUUGGGAAUGUACCAUCGCUUCUUAGAAAACAGAAGAAAGACCCCCUCUGAAGAGACAACUGAUAACAAAACGGUGUAACUAUCAUGACUUCAUUUUAAAACACUAUUGCUCUCCACUUUCCUUGUUUUAUUAACUUUCAUCUAUCAUUUUCUCCAUUCGAUACUCAGGGUUUACCCUUACUUAUAAUUUCAACAAUGGGAAAAAUCACUAAAAUUUAUUUUAUUUUAUUAUUUUCUUCUUUGCAGUACUGGAGAUUGAGUUUAGGGCCUUGUGUAUGCUAAAGAAGCUAGAAUUUAUAUCACCCACUUUGUUAAAUAUAUCCACUUCUUUACUCCCUUUGUCAUUGGCAGGCAUGAUUUUCGGAUACAUUGCCAUUACGUGUUCUCCUUCAGAACCGCCCAGGAUCAGUUUCCAGGUGUGGUGCCUUGGACAUAACAACUUUAACUUGUGGAUCUGCUAUUGCGGAGUCCUCUGGGAUUGUGACUCCUUGAGCUGUUUCAUCAGUUCAAGUGAAGUUUGGCUUCACUAGAAAUCCUGAGAAAUAUCUUAAGUGGUAUUACACUGGAUGUUUCCUUUCUUCAUCUCAGAUAUGCAUGCUGAAAAUCACUGUUGCAAAAAUGUGUAAUGAAGAAAAUCUCAGAAUCCCUACAGGGCAAAGUGCGGCUGUCGGCUGUUGCGGUUCUGCAUGUUUGUUAUGCAGUUUCAUAGCCUGCUAUUCCCUGGCUCAUCUUCUCUAUUUUAUUUAGGUGAACAGUGAUUACUUAACCCUGCGGGAUGUGGAAGAUCUGUGCAAACUGCAUUGUCUCAGUGUGGUUUUUCUACUACACGUACCUCUGUCUCAGAGAGCUUGCUCUAGAUUCAUCACUUCCAGUUGGACUGAAGACACUCAGAUAUUCUUUAAAAUGGUGAAUAUAAUCUUUACUGAUUUAGCGUGUGAUGUGUAAAACUCAACUGUGUGAUGUGUAAAAUCAACGAUAGCUUUCAAAACAGAUUGAUAUGGCAACAGUGACCUCAAUGAAUCAGUUGACUAAUUCCAACAACUAGCUUUGUUGGUAACAAAUAGCAUGAUUUAUA